AGCGGCAGGCCUAAUACAUGCAAGUCGAGGGGCAGCACGUCUUCGGAUGGUGGCGACCGGCGCACGGGUGCGUAACGCGUAUGCAACCUACCUACUACAGGGAGAUAGCCCGGGGAAACUCGGAUUAAUAUUCCAUAAUACAGGGGGCCCGCAUGGGUCUAUUGUUAAAGCUGAGGCGGUAGUAGAUGGGCAUGCGUCCCAUUAGCUAGUUGGUGAGGUAACGGCUCACCAAGGCGACGAUGGGUAGGGGUUCUGAGAGGAUGAUCCCCCACACUGGUACUGAGAUACGGACCAGACUCCUACGGGAGGCAGCAGUAGGGAAUAUUGGGCAAUGGUCGAGAGACUGACCCAGCCAUGCCGCGUGCAGGAAGAAGGCCUUCGAGGUUGUAAACUGCUUUUGUACGGGAAGAAAACGCUCCUGCGGGAGUAACUGACGGUACCGUACGAAUAAGCACCGGCUAACUCCGUGCCAGCAGCCGCGGUAAUACGGAGGGUGCAAGCGUUGUCCGGAUUUAUUGGGUUUAAAGGGUGCGUAGGCGGCCGAUUAAGUCAGUGGUGAAAGCCGACAGCUCAACUGUCGAACUGCCAUUGAUACUGGUUGGCUUGAGUAUAACAGAGUAGGCGGAAUCGUGGUGUACGGUGAAAUGCAUAAAUACCACGAGGAACACCGAUUAGCGUAGGCAGCUUACUGGGUUAUACUG
rnacentral:rRNA from 1 species